CGGGGCCUACAGUCGCGUCGGGAAGUGUCCCCGUGGGGAGUCCGUGCGCUGGCGGAGGCGCACCGUCCACAGGAAACUUCUGUCCGUUUUAGGGGCGGGAUGGCGAGGAGGAGGCUGGGAAAGUUAGUGUGAAGGUAAAGAUGCAGUCAUCGUUAAUGAAAACCAACCCCGAGAGAGAAAAUGGGUACGUGGGAAGCAUGGCGAGACCAUCUUCGUAAAAAAUAAAGCACAAACAGUCACGUUUAAAGUUCGUCGGGGCACGGAGACCUGUUGCUCGAGUUUGACAUCCCAGGAAUCUGGUCCUGUAAGGCUAGGAGAUGUGGUUAAAAAUAUAACAUGUUUGGACUGCACCUCAGAAUGGAAUUCACAGCGUUGGUAAGAAAGGACCCAGGAGGAUGCAUACCCAUGCGUUCAGACGGGCUGCUUGGGAAAGCACUGCUCCAGACUUCCCUCUGUACUUCCUUUGAACCCAUUGGGUAGAAUGCCAGGAAAAGUGAGCAUGGACACCUGAGAAGCCGUUUAUUAAAGAUGGCAGAGCCACAAGAUAGAAGGAGCCUGGGUCCCUGAAUCCACUCUUGGAGGAGAGAGACUCACCACCCAGGAACAGCAGUUUCAGAUUUGAAAACAAGAAAUAAACUUAUAUUGUAUUUAAGCUAUUA